UGGCUUUACCUGAAGACGGUGCGCUAACCGCAAGGAGGCAGCCGCCCACGGUAGGGUCAAUGACUGGGGUGAAGUCGUAACAAGGUAACCGUAGGUGAACCUGCAGAAGGAUCA
rnacentral:rRNA from 1 species